UACGUAGGGGGCUAGCGUUGUCCGGAAUCAUUGGGCGUAAAGAGCGUGUAGGCGGUCCGGUAAGUCCGUUGUGAAAGUCAGGGGCUCAACCCUUGAAUGCCGGCGGAUACUGUCGGGCUAGAGUCCGGAAGAGGCAAGUGGAAUUCCCGGUGUAGCGGUGAAAUGCGCAGAUAUCGGGAGGAACAUCCGUGGCGAAGGCGGCUCUCUGGGACGGUACUGACGCUGAGACGCGAAAGCGUGGGGAGCGAACAGG
rnacentral:rRNA from 1 species